GAAAUGCGAUAAGUAAUGUGAAUUGCAGAAUUCAGUGAAUCAUCGAAUCUUUGAACGCACCUUGCGCCCUUUGGUAUUCCGAAGGGCACACCUGUUUGAGUGUCGUGAAAUUCUCAACCCUCUUCGCUUUUUUGCGAAGCCCAGGGCUUGGACUUGGAGGCCUUGCCGGCUCUUUUGCUCGGCUCCUCUCAAAUGCAUUAGUGCGUCUCGUUUGCGACGUGCGCCUCGGUGUGAUAAUUAUCUACGCUGUGGCGCGCAUCGCUUCCAUAGAGAGACGGGCUUUCUAACCGUCCGCAAAGGACAAAAUUCAUCGAACUUUGACCUCAAAUCAGGUGGGACUACCCGCUGAACUUAA
rnacentral:rRNA from 1 species